rnacentral:rRNA from 1 species
UAACCUGCCCAUGUGUCCGGGAUAACUGCUGGAAACGGUAGCUAAAACCGGAUAGGUAUACAGAGCGCAUGCUCAGUAUAUUAAAGCGCCCAUCAAGGCGUGAACAUGGAUGGACCUGCGGCGCAUUAGCUAGUUGGUGAGGUAACGGCUCAUCAAGGCGAUGAUGCGUAGCCGGCCUGAGAGGGUAAACGGCCACAUUGGGACUGAGACACGGCCCAA